GCGAAUCGCCCUUGGGGUGCAGCAGGCGCGAAAACUUUACAAUGCUGGCAACAGCGAUAAGGGGACCUCGAGUGCCAGGAUACAAUCUUGGCUGUCGCGAUGCCUAAAAAGCAUUGCAUAGCAAGGGCCGGGCAAGACCGGUGCCAGCCGCCGCGGUAACACCGGCGGCUCGAGUGGUAACCGCUAUUAUUGGGUCUAAAGGGUCUGUAGCCGGCCGGAUAAGUCUCUUGGGAAAUCCAGCAGCUCAACUGUUGGGCUUUCAGGAGAUACUGUUCGGCUCGAGGCCGGGAGAGGUGAGAGGUACUUCGGGGGUAGGGGUGAAAUCUUGUAAUCCUUGAAGGACCACCAGUGGCGAAGGCGUCUCACCAGAACGGACCUGACGGCAAGGGACGAAAGCUAGGGGCACGAACCGGAUUAGAUACCCGGGUAGUCCUAGCCGUAAACGAUACUCGCUAGGUGUCAGCCACGGUGCGACCGUGGUUGGUGCCGUAGGGAAGCCGUGAAGCGAGCCACCUGGGAAGUACGGCCGCAAGGCUGAAACUUAAAGGAAUUGGCGGGGGAGCAC
rnacentral:rRNA from 1 species